AGGGGCGUAGUGCAGGCCACACCUGGUCUUUCUCUUAUACAUAACAUAACAUACAUAACCAAUUGUGCCGGGGGCGUAGUGCAGGCCACACCCGGUCUUUCUCUUACAUAGUGCCAGGGGCAUAGUGCAGGCCACACCUGGACUUCCAUAUCGUAUCAUCAUGUCAUAACAUAUGAGGGCUAAUGGAUCAUUCAACAUUCAUCCAC
rnacentral:lncRNA from 1 species